UGUCAUCCAAAUGACAGAGGAUUCAUAAUAAUUAUCGACUGAUUCUAUUGGACUUGCUAAAUAUCACCAACCCCAGCAUGGACCAAUCUCUUAUUCCAUCUUCUAGAGAACCUUGGAUAACUGAUUGGUAGUUUAGUGUGUAAGUCACUACCCCAGUGUGGACAUGUUUGUUUUUCUGAACAUGUUUUUCAACAAAUAAUUCAUUGACGUACAAGUAUUCUUCUUCUUUCAGUUUUAAACUGUUAUUUGAUGUCAUAGAUUGUAUUUUCUGUCAUAAAAUAUAUCAUCUAGGCCAUGGGCAAUCUUCAGGUUUA